CUAUGAGGGUGCUGUAGAAUUGGUGCUAUAAAAGCUUAUCACAGAGAUACUUGAUCUGGUCAGCAGGGUCAGAGAAGUUUUCCUAAGGAUGCUUGCUCUGAUAGCAAAAGGAUGAGAAAUUGAUAAGAUGAAGUAGAAUAAGAAAGAAUAUUUGAGGCAGAAGAGCAUUUCUAAGUCCUUUUGGGAGAAGACUUCCUGAUGAGUAUGUGGUUCUAUCAGAAAGUCCAGUACAGCCAGAGUAUGGAGGAUAGCAAGGGGGUGUUGGGAAAGUGUGGUGAAAGGUGAGACCCAAGAGGUAGAUGGGACCAAACCGUGCAUGAAGUCAAAAGCAUUUUAAGAAUGAAAGAGUGAUGUGAUCAUAGUUUACAUUUUUAUGCAAUCAAUUCAGCUAUAAUAGAAAAGGUAGAGGAGGUGGGCAGAGUGUCUGUGAAUAGACCAGUUAUGAGGCAAUUAUAGACACAGUUGGAGAAAUAACUUUGAUUAGUGAUAGAAGAGAUGGAGAGAAAAGACAGAUUCAAGAGCUGUUUAGAAGAGGAAAAACAGCAUUUUUUUUUUUUUUUUUUUUUUUGAAGUAGACCAUUGGAUACAUGAAUUUGAGGCUCAGAGUAGAGGUCUGGACCGGUGAUAUGAUGGUAAGUUAUCUGGGUGUUGGUAGUCAUUGAUGCCAUGAAAAUUGUUGAGAAAUCUGGUCCCUGGUAUGUCACCUGAGUAUGAAUCAUCUGCAUUCUGUUACAGUUAUUCCAUCAAUGGCUGGCAAGAGGGUAGGUUAUGUAAGGUGAGUGUCUGCCAGAAUUUGAUGGACAGAGAAAGACAGGGAUGGUAUUUUGUUCACAUUUUGCAAAAUGAAAAUGCAAUAUUACUUACAUUUUUAUUGAAACCUUACCACUUUAUUAAUAAAUCUCACAUUUUCAAAGGUUGUACAUGGGCUGCAACAAUUUCUGUGGUUAGAUCAUCUCACUUUGCAUUCCAUUAAUAGGCUGAAGUUCAUCCUAAGUAAUUUACCAUAGAGUUUUCAUAUUGGUGUUUAUCUUUGCUAAAAUUGUGGCAGCCAUGGCGGCAUGCUGCUUGGAUCAUUUUUCAGGAAAGAAUUUACUAUUCAGUGGCAAGGAGAGUGGUUAACUGACAGCGUCCAGUUGUUAGCACCUUUAGGAUCUGCCUUUGCCUCUCAGCAGAGGAACACUCUUCCUGGGCAGCACACUCCAGCCAUGACUGAGCAUGGACUGAGUACUAGGGCCUGGGACUCCUCUAACGAGAAAUCUUUACUCUGGAGCUUGCUAUUGGGUUAGCCGUGACUUUGUCAGAUUUGCAUUGUGGUUGGACGACCUCCUUGCCCAGUCCUGCUUCCUCUCCACCUCCUUUCCUUUCAGAGAUGUCUGAUGGCCAUCAUGGGUUUAAGAUUUUCCUUGCCCAAUCCUGCUUCCAUCUCCUCUUAUCUAUUGCCCCCAAUAAACCUUUACACUUCCAUCUUCAUUUCAGCAUCUGGUUUCCAGAGGAUCCCACUGACGACUAUAGCAGCUUUACAUUCCCAAUCAUGAAUGUGGAUCAAUCAUUCAAAAAUGGAUCACUGAAGAAAAAAAAGUGAUAAAAAUAAGCACACUAUACCAGUAGAAUACACUUAAACCCCUUUCAAGACUCCAAAUUCUCAUCAAAACAUGGCAACAGACUGAAAAUACAAGAUUUAUGAUCUCCAGGAGAUUCAGAUGCUUCACCUUGGGUGUGGCCCCCUCUUGUAUGGAGACAUACAUUAAACUGUGAGUAUCUACCUCACUCCUACAGUUCCACAUGGACUGGUGAGACAGAGACUUGAUAAAUACAAUAGAUACUUUUAGCAUUGGAGACGUAUAACAGUCAUUGAUUUGUUUUCAGCUGCUGCAUAGAAAUUAUCACAUACUUAGCAUCUUAGAACAACACAUACAAGCUACCUCACAGUUUCCAUGCGUCAAGAGUCUGGGUAUGAAUUAGGUGAGUCCUCCACUCAAGGUCUCACCAGGCUGAACUCAAGGCAUUGGGUUGGGUUACGAUCUCAUUUAAGUUGCAGGGUGCCCUUCCAAGUUCACUGAUUUUUGGAAGAAUUCAACUCCUGGUGAUUAUAGUACUGAAAUCCUGCCCUCUCGGUGGCUGUAGGCUGGAGACUGCUCUCACCACCUAGAUGUUGCUCUCAGUUCCUUGCCGUAUAGCCCCAUACAUAGUUGUUCACAACAGUGGUAUUUUCUUUCUUAAGAUCAGCAGGGGACUCUCAUUUUGAAUCCUCCCUUUAGGAAAGGCUCAAUCAUUCUUUUAGAGCUCACUUGGUUAGGCUAGACUUGGGGAUAAUCUCUUUUUUAAAAAAACCCUCAAAGUCAACUGAUUAGUAACCUAAUCACACCCUAUUUCUUAGUCCCUUCUAUACUCGAUGAGAGGGGAUUAUACAGGGUGUAUAGUUUUACCAGAAAUUCAUAUAUAUUGACAAGUGUCAUAUCUUCUUCUUGAAUAGAUCCUUUUAUCAUUAAAUAGUGUCCUUCAUUGUCUUUUUUUAUGGCCUUCAUUUUAAAGUCUAUUUUGUCUGAUAUGAGUAUUGCAACUUCUGCCUUCCUGCCUUUUUCUCUUGCAUCAAAUACCUUUUUCCAUCCCCUCACUUGCAAUUUAUAUGAGUCCUUUGCCCUAAGGUGAGUCUCUUGCAGGCAAGUAUUGCAGGCUCUUGUUUUUUUUUUAGUCCAGUCUGCCACUCUAUAUCUUUUGGUCCAUUGAUGCUUAUGGUAAUUAUCGAUAAAUUUGUAUUUAUUGACAAUUUAAACCUUGUUUUCCAGUUGAUUCUAUGUUUCUCUUUUGUUCCUUUCUUAUUUUGGUUGGAUGAUUUCCUUUUAUUUUAUGCUUGUGUCUUCUUUUUAGUUUUUGUGUAUGUAUGCUUUGGUUUUGAUUUGUGGUUGCCCUGUUUUUCAAGUAUGUUAACCCCUUCUUAUAUCUGCUUGCUUUAACCUGAUAGUUAUAUAGGCUCAAACACAUUCUAGAAAAAAAUAAUCUAGAUUUUCUCACUUUCUCCCCCCACAUUUUAUGAUUUUGAGGUCCUUUUUUAACAACUUCAUAUUUAUCCUUUUGCUAUCCCUUUUGUUUUUCAUCACUUUUACAAUAGUUUUUUUUUUCUUUUAGUUCUGUAUAGUGGCUUAUUUAGUUCUGUAUAGUGGCAAAUUAUUCACAGAAAUGGAAAUAUUAAUUGCUUUUAAAUAUAUGACAAGAUGCAAUAUAACCCUAUGCAGUGGUAGCCAGGAAUGGGAAAACUAUAUAUUGAUAGGGAAAUAUCUCCAAGGAAUUUUGCUAAGUGAAAAAAAAAAAAAGUACAGGAGUUCCUGUCAUGGCUCAGUGGUUAACAAAUCCAACUAGGAACCAUGAAGUUGCGGGUUUGAUCCCUGGCCUUGCUCAGUGGGUUAAGGAUCUGGCAUUGCCGUGAGCUGUGGUGUAGGUUGCAGAUGCGGCUUGGAUCCCGUGUUGCUGUGGCUCUGGCGUAGGCUGGUGGCCACAGCUUUGAUUGAGCCUCUAGCCUGGGAACCUCCAUGUGCCAUGGGAGCAGCCCUAGAAAAGGCAAAAAGACAAAAAAAAAAAAAAGUACAGAAACCUGGAUAAUAUAGUACAUAUGCUUUAAAGAAAUGAGAGUAUAUAUAUCCUUGUGAUGUAUAAAGAGCUUUAUAAGAAUAUCUCAAAAAUCUAGUCAAAGUGGGAAAGUAGAAGUCAUUAGAAUUAGGCAGAUAAGAAAGGGACUGUGGAGGGAAAAUAAAACUUUACUUUUAAUAUUUUUUUAUUUUUGAGCCAUCCAACUAUAUUGUGUAUUCAAAAAUAAAUUAAUGAAAAUAAAUAAUAAAGGAAGUUGAACUUGAAAGAAAAAGCUAGAGGGCACAGCCAGUGCCAGUAACAUUCCUAUUUCUGUUAUCACCACACAUCUCCCCUGGUAUUUUAAAGAUGACCAGAAUGCUGAGAGAGAAGCUUACCGAUCUUCUGGUGUCUUCUUUCUAACCACCCCUUUUAACUCCAUUGGUAUUUUCAAAGCUAGCACCUUGCCAGAAAUGAAGUGUACACAUGCUUCAGGCGGGAAGUGAUGGUCAAUUUUAAUUUUUGUUCCAAUAGUAUGCUUGUUCCUUAUACAUGUCCGCACUCAGAUAAAAUUAGAACUCCAAGGAAAGAAUUAAAGAUAAUGACUGGUCUGGUAGAAGCAAGGUACCAAAGGUUUAAAUCAGUAGAAAAGAAAACAAACAAACAAACAAACUGAUGACUGCAAUAUGUUAGAACAGAGAAAAAUAAAUCACAACAAUAAAGAGUAAUACUAUAAAACAGGGUGGAAGUUGUAAGACUAAAAAUUAUAGUCAACAGAAUAAAUAGGAAACUGUAAAAUCUCUCUGGAAAUAUUUGGCACACAGCUAUGCUGCUUGGUUGAUUCAGAGUGAAAAUUUAAACCAUCAUUGGGCCACACAGGGAUGAGCCAUGGGGGGAGUAAAAAUCGGGCCAAGAUGCUCCUUAGGAGCAAACUUGGAAUUUGCCUUUAAUCACAAACAGAUGGGCCAUUGAGGGCCCAUGUUUCUGCUCCAUAUAGCACAGACUCAAUAAUUUCAUUCUGUGAAAUGUUUAAGGAAGGUGUAACUAAAAGCCCAGUGCAGCACAUU
rnacentral:lncRNA from 1 species